CCUAAAAGAAAAUGGAAAUUUUAUGGCAUUUUGUGUUAAAUGCCUAAUUAUACCGAAAUAGGGAAUUUUAUUCCAUGAAUGGACCUUAGGUUAAAUUUUAUUAUGUGAUUAAUUAAAUUAAAUGUGAGAGACAUUUAAUUUAAUUAAUUAAUGUUAAGUUUGGUGAUUAAAACUUAAUAAAAGUGAAAAAGGUGUCAAAAGCCAAUUUGGACUUUUCUUCUUAUGAAACCUUUUUUUAACCUUAAUUAAAAAAAAAAAAAAAAUGAUCAUAUAUUUAGCAAAGAGUGGCCGGCCAUGUGGUGUUUUAGAGUGGUGUGAACCCAAAUUUUAUAAAAUUAAAUGCCAUUUAAUUAAGAGGUCAAGUGGGCAAGUGGGUAGAAAAGCACUCAAGUACCUUGUGAUAUUUUGAAGAGUAUUGUGAGCAAUUCCCACACUAAGAACCGAUGACUCUCCAUCUCUCAUUCACUAUCAUCUUUUUUUGAAGACCUCUCAAAGUGUUCUCUCCAUUUUUCAAGCCCAAGAACACCAAGGAAACUUUGAGGCUAAGUCUUGGUCUAGGAAGUAUUUUCCCUAAGUUGGUUAGGGUUUUUGAAAGGUUUUGGAGGAGCCAAAGCUAAUAGGAAGGUCCAAACCUUAAGCAAGAACACCAAAGAGGUAAGAGCAAGGGCAAGGCAGAGCAGUGAGCGCUGGAGUCUUCCUUGCAAAUGUACAUGUGGACCAACCUUUUGGGAAGCCGUUUUAUUUUUGGAAAUGUUGUGUAAUUUUCCUAAGAAAGGCUCACCCUAAUCUUUAUAAAACAUGUUUGUAACUAAAUGUUAAGUAUGGCCAUACGACAUUUUAAAAAGUUUUUUUUUCUAUGGG